GGGAACAGCAACAGCUCAUUAGUAGAGCAUCUGUUUUGCAUGCAGACGGUUCCAAGUUCAAUCCCUGGUGUCCCCA